AACGCUAGCUACAGGCUUAACACAUGCAAGUCGAGGGGCAGCAUGAACUUAGCUUGCUAAGUUUGAUGGCGACCGGCGCACGGGUGAGUAACACGUAUCCAACCUGCCGAUGACUCGGGGAUAGCCUUUCGAAAGAAAGAUUAAUACCCGAUGGCAUAGUUCUUCCGCAUGGUGGAACUAUUAAAGAAUUUCGGUCAUCGAUGGGGAUGCGUUCCAUUAGGUUGUUGGCGGGGUAACGGCCCACCAAGCCUUCGAUGGAUAGGGGUUCUGAGAGGAAGGUCCCCCACAUUGGAACUGAGACACGGUCCAAACUCCUACGGGAGGCAGCAGUGAGGAAUAUUGGUCAAUGGACGAGAGUCUGAACCAGCCAAGUAGCGUGAAGGAUGACUGCCCUAUGGGUUGUAAACUUCUUUUAUACGGGAAUAAAGUGAGGCACGUGUGCCUUUUUGUAUGUACCGUAUGAAUAAGGAUCGGCUAACUCCGUGCCAGCAGCCGCGGUAAUACGGAGGAUCCGAGCGUUAUCCGGAUUUAUUGGGUUUAAAGGGAGCGUAGGCGGAUGCUUAAGUCAGUUGUGAAAGUUUGCGGCUCAACCGUAAAAUUGCAGUUGAUACUGGGUGUCUUGAGUACAGUAGAGGCAGGCGGAAUUCGUGGUGUAGCGGUGAAAUGCUUAGAUAUCACGAAGAACUCCGAUUG
rnacentral:rRNA from 1 species